GCACGUGGCUGCCAGGACCCCACCUCAGUGCAUGGGAGUCAGGGCAGGCAUCUCAGGAGGGGAUCGCUUCAGUUCAGGAGUUCACGAUGAGCCUGGACAACAUGAUGAGACCCCUGUCUUGACAAAAAAAUACAAAAAUUAUCUGGGCAUGGUGGCACGUAUCUGUAGUCCCAGCUACUUGGGAGGCUGAGUCCCAGGCGCUAAUUCAAAGAGGGGAGGUGGUGGAGGUGGGAGUGGGGCUGGGGCACUUUCUCUUAGAUCUGCCCGGAUGUGUCCAGAGCUUCCAAGGACUGUCUGUUCCUGGCUUCUUCCUUAACUUGUCAUCAGAGUCAGGACCGUAACAAGGGGCAGAGGUGACUCUGGUGUCCUCUCUCGCCUUACCCUUAGUGACCCUCCAGGAAGCCAGAGAAGUUACCCCAAAUCGCAGGACAUGGGAAGGAAGGGCCAGAGAUGCCAGGGAGCACCGCAGCCAUGGAGGCAAACAGCCCAAUGGCUGGGGAGGGAGAGGAGGU
rnacentral:lncRNA from 1 species